CCCUCUGGUGUUUAGAAGACUUGCCUAUGGUUUUGCCAAAUCUUGCUUCUCUCCAAUUGCAAUUCUCUGUUAUUCCCAAAUAAGCCCAUCUUUUGCCGGUAAAAUAACUGGCAGUUUUAUUUUUAAGAUUAACAGGAAUGGUAAUUGACUUGUCUUGAUUUUCCCAGGAUUUUCUUGGUUUAAGUACAGAGAGUCCUAUAUCCUGGGAAUACUUUUGGCCUUGGGCAAACUGAGACUGUUGUUUUCCUGACCAGUUUUUCUGGAGGUACCACUGAGCUAUAGUCUACACUGCUCAUCACAUGGACCCCAGGCUUCAAGCAGGUACAGCAUCCAGAGAGGCCCCUUGUGCCUUGCUGCUCACAGCUUACAGACUCAGUGUCUUACGUGGAAAAAAAAAACCUACCAUCAACCGACAAUGUACACAUUUGGAAACAAGAAGGACCUGCAAGGAAGCCUGUAAAGUUGUCCUCAGUGGCCCCAUGUGCUUUGGCCUUCUGCAGACUACUUUUUAAUUUAAUGACCAGUUAAAGUGUCUGGGAGCCCUUCACCUGUCUACAGUGGGCAGCCCGUGCCCUCCUGAAGAUUUAAGUGGAUUCAUGACAUAGCUCCUUAUGAUCUCUUAUGGUCCCUGGCUGUGAAUUUGGCUUCUCAAUCAACCAGCUCACGCAUUGCCUCUCAUGGUUGCCCUCCUGCCUCUCCAUGCACGGUCUCAUUUAUUGACACUUUCUUCUUCACUCUACAGAGCAUCGCUGACAGAAGGCAGCUAUAUGUAACAGAUUUGCUAAAAAAUUUAGGGAUGACUACAGGAUUAUAGCACAGAAUGGGAAAUGACCUAACAUGCAAGCUAGACUACUAGACAUCUCAAAAACUGCCAGCCAUCUUUUCUACAGGGAACGCCUCACUUGCAGUGUUUAUAGUAGGUCCCACUUACAGACUUACAGAUAUGUUUCAUUAGACCACAACUCCAAAAUUCCUGUUAACUUAUGUGCAGAGCAAGUCAGUGUGUGUACUCUCUCUCUCUCCCUCUUCUUUUUUUGUUAUUACCCAUCCAGGGCAGCAUAGGAGGCUUUUCUGGGUACAAACUUCUUUUUUUUUUCCUUCUGUAAACAGGAAAUAGUUUCUGAAUUUUAUUCCAAAAGAAAUAAGAAUCUAGAUUUUAUAAUACAUCUAAGAGAGGGAAUCUGAUUGGAUAAGUUUGAUAUCAGACUCUUACUAUACAAUAUGACUGCUACUAUUACCAUUAAAAUUACCAUAUUACUCUAAACAGAAAAAGUUGGGCUGUUCUAUGUCCCCUUGGUUUAGAGGCUGAGAGCUCAUGCUCUGAGCCCUGGUCUGAGCAGUCUUGGGUAGCAGGGUGGCACUGUGGCUGUCACAGAAAGGCUACACACAACAAUCCAUUUGCAGUGACUUCCUUAAAAAGGGGCUGUAAGUAUGGCAGGUAUUUAAAUUUUCAGCCUGUUCUCCAGUAGGAUAAAGUUGGGUCUUUGAGUUAAGGGGAUACUUAUACUGAUAAGUGUAAGGGGAUGCUGAUAUUCUGGUGGAGGGCUCCUUAGUUUGCUUAAUAAAAGGAAAGAUGGAAAUGCCUCAGUGGCAUAAAGGUCUUCUUCCACACUUGAAGUCAUACUAAAUAUGUGAGAUUUAUUAUUUAUGAGGUCUCGUUCCUGAUGAGUCAAAAUGAGUUCUUCAAGGAAGAGGCAGUGGAUCGCAGGAGUUUGCAUGAGACUGGCCGAUGCCUGGUAUACAGCGGACACCUAAGUUGAGUAAAUGGAAUAUGGUGUAUCAUGACAAAGGCCCUUAUGCAUGUUAUUUCUGCACCCUGGAAUGUUUUCCCUCAACGUCAUGAAUGUGUACACACACACACACACACACACACACACACACUCACACAGUCUCUUCUAACUUGGUUGAUUCCUACUUAUUCCUAUACAUCUUAGCCUCCUGUAAGCUAUGUCCUAAUACUUACAGAAGUUGCCUUUUGUACUCUACAUUCAUAUCACAUUUGUAAUUGUAUUGCUUAAAUAUGUGUGUCCAUGUAUUUGUGAUCACUUGUGAAACACUUUAUUCUCCUCUACAUUCACAGCUGCCUGAGGGGAGCCCAUGUCUGAGUGCUCUAGGGCAUAGCCCGAUGCCUAGAGCAGAGUGAGCCAUAAGGGCAGAGAUGGAGUAGUUUUCACCAACCCCGUUUCCCCUUCUUCAUGGGCCAGGCUACAUUUCCUAGUCCCUUUGUUACUAAAUAUGGCUAUUUGAUGGGGUUCUAGCCAACGGAAUGUGAGCAGAAGUAAUAUGUGCCACUCCCUGCCUUUCCUUUUGAAAAUCUCGUGUGUGAGGUCAUCCAAGCUCUUUCUUCCUACCACCGGCUUGUGGAAGACACUAACCGUGACUUUGAAAGGCACAUAUGAAAGAUGGCAGAGCCACAGGGUGGAAGGAACCUGAACCCUGAGUCAUCACUUAGAAUAACAGUUUCACCAAUGAGGAUUACCUGUUGUGGACUAUCCUUGAAUGAGAUUCUCUUAUUAUAUUUGAGCCCUCAUGCAUCUCAGAGUUUGUCACAGUGGCUAGAAUCCCCUCAAUUAACACAGUACUCGUGUGUGUGUGUGUGUGUGUGUGUGUGUGUGUGUGUAUGUGUGUGAUUAAUAUAUGUACACAGAAAAGCAGAUAUCUAGGAUACAGAUUGUGUCAGAAAUGCUGAGCCCUAUGAUAUUAGGCCAGUCUUCAAGGAGACCAAUGAUUCCAUAAGUAAGAAUGAGGUGAUAUUCCAGCAAUCCAACAUUUGUGUCAUUCUUGUAAUAAAUACCUCGGACUAAUGCUAACAGAGGCCUGUUUCCCCUUUGCACCCAUGUAAAUAAAUCCUCCCUUCUCUAAGACACUUAACUUUCCCAGUUGGCAUGUGCUGAAUGUUUGUGUUCCCCUCAAAUUCAUAUAUUGAAACCUAGUCCCAAAUGUGAUGGCAUUAGGAGAUGGGGCCUUUGGGAUGUGAUAAGGUCAUUAGGGUGGAGCUCUCACAAAUGGGAUUAGUGUCCUUGUAAAGCAGACUGCAGAGACCUUUCUUGUCUCUUCCUCCACAUGAGAUCGCAGCUAGAAGACAGUGGUCUGUGAACUAAGAAGCAGGUCCUCACCAGACACUGAAUCUGCCAGCGCCUUUAUCUUAAACUUCCCAGAGCUGUGAGAAAUAAGUUUCUGUUGUUUGUAAGCCACAUUGUUGUUUGGUAUUUUGUUAUAUGAGCCUGAAUUAUGAUAUGGGCUCUCUAUUCCAAAGCGAUCUUCCCUUCUUUCCCAUGCCACUGAAAAACACAUUUGACCAGGCAUUAAUGACCUUCUGAAGCCAGCUUGUAUUAAAGGGUCGACUACUGCUUUCUGUUUUACUUUCAUGGGGAGACUGUGCAUUUUUAGGGACAAUGGCAAAAGUCAGUCUUUGCUGAAAUUUCAAGAGUAGAUUAAACUGAAGCAUAGAUCACCAAGUGCUGGCAGGCAGCUUAUAUUCUCAUCCUAAAGCAUUUGCAAUAGUCACUCACAAUGGCAGGGAAAAAUAACAGAGGGAGUCUGAGAUAUUGAUGAAAACACACGACUGCCUUACCUGUCCUGGACUUCAACGUCUGAUCUUUUAUCGAAGGAAUGUAAUUCCUAACUGAAAUAGGUGCCAUGUUUUCCCAUGACAAUGGGCUGCCUCUGGAAUCAUGGACAUCAGGAGACUGAGAGGUGAAGGUAGGAAUGUAGAAGCUAACUGUGCCAGAAAGACUGUAGAAAUGCUUGGUAGUGGGUCAUGAGAUUUGUUUUCUUUUCCCUUACUAGAACAGCCUAUACUAUUCUAACUAACUGAUUUCUUGCUUAAGUUUUAAAAGUUACCUGUUGUUUAUCGGGUGUGUCACCAGACUCAUUUUGUGCAUUGUUCCAUAUCUUCUUGGCCAUGGUUUUCUGCUUGAUGCUGUUGAUCUAGGAAGAUCACCUGACAGUUGUAUUCUUACAGGCCGAAGAGGAGAGGUUUUCAUCUUAAGAUCUGUGACCACUUUAUGGCAGGGCUAACUUGUCACGGUACUCCACCUGUUUCCAGUCCCUCAUAUCUACAUGAUGGCUCCUAUUCCAGGGCUUUCCUGCUGCUACUGAGUCAGGAAACACUGUGAAGCCCUGACAUUUGUUGUAAAGCAUGCAUGCUAGGUCACUGUGGUUGGGCUGCAGGCUGCACACAUACAGAUGAGGAGAGCCACAGGCUCACCACCUGUAGGGACUCAUGCCUCAGCUACUCUUAGGGGAUGGCUUCAGGGAUCCAGGGAUCUGACUUCCCUGAGACUGUUGCCAAGGGGCAGGGUAAUACAGCUAGAUGUGGGAGGAAGUUGAUGCUAACACUAAGUUAACUUUAUCAGUUAAUUCUCCCUUUUGGUCCAUAUUCCACCUCUAUGGAGAAGUAAUGGUUUCAUAGGAUCUCUCAGAAGAUAUCCCCUGAGAGUGAGAUAUGACCAGUAUGGUAAUGCUGUCUUUUGUAUUUUCUUUCUUUUCUUCCUGGUCUCACUCCCCUUUCUCUGCAUCCUGUGUCCCUGGGAUAUGCUCUCCAAUAAGCUCUACCAUGAAAGCUUUUGACUCAGGAUCUGUGUUCUUGGGAAAUAAGACAUAAAGCUCCAGUGUUGAGUCAGGGGGAUGCUAACCUACCUAAACUGGGAUAUUUGAGGUGCUGGACAAAAUUGAAUAUUGUUAUGGGGAUAGAGGGUUGAAUAAUUUUAAUAUUUAUCUGUUUUUAUGAAAAUAUAUGUUGUAGAAAAUAAAACCCCACAAACUUUGUUAUUAAUGCACUCAUCUUCUCUCGUCCUCUCUGGCUUUCCUCACUCACUCACCCACAAGUCCAAAUAUUUGUUCAUUUUAUUGAUGAGGAAAAGCUCUGAUAUUCACCCUAGAAACACACUAGGGAAUUGUCCCAUUGCCUUUCCAAGGGAGAAGUUCAGCAUCUUUAGAAAUACUAACCCCUCAGAACUAGAACUGGCAGAAAUGUGAGGCAGAAGAGACCAGUGAGUGCCAGAGACAUUGUGCCAUGGACUCACUUGGCUCAGGUUGUAUUCCAGAUGCCAGUGUGUGCACACAUGUGUGUUUGUGCAUCGUGGGGUGAGCAGUGAGGGGCAAACAGCAAGAGAAAAGAAGGUAUCAUCCCACAUCACUCUCUCCCUCAUUUCCCAGUAACUUCCCAUUGAGGCAAAAACAUAUUUAGAACAGGGUGAGUUGCUAGCGUCACAGCCACAUGGAGCCUCUUCUUUCAAAGUGUGCCUGGCAGCCCUUUAUCACAGGAGUUGAGUCCAAAUGCAUUCGCAUUUUCACCUUUGUCAAGUGAAGUUUUUAAUGACGGCUGGGGUCUUUGGGAGACACAGUUUGAAAAUAAAUGUAGAGGUUUGGUGAAGCUGCCAGAACCCAGACCUUCACCUUUUAAAUCGCAUUAGUAAUGGUGGUAUGUGUGGUUGCCGGACAAAAUGGACUUGAAAUAUCAUCAGGAAGGAAAAAUAAAUCAAGAUAUGGUUCCUUCCGGUGGCUGACUCUGAAAGCAGGGAUAAAAGGCCCACGGAUAAGAGGGGGUCAGAUCUGGGUUGCAUUUGUAACAGCAAUGAAUGAACAACAGCAAAAAUCCAUUCCUGAUCCACAGAGCUUGAAGAGAGGUCAGAUCAGAUAAAUUAGGAGCUCUAUAAAGAAAGAAGAUUUCUCACAGCCCAGCCAACCUGGGCUCUAAAGCAAUUGAAAGGGACUCUGGAGAGCUGGUGGGGGGGGGGGGACCCUCCAGAUAGGCUAGAGAAGAAUGGGGAGGAGAGGUCUGUGGGUUGGCAGCUGGGGUCACAGACUUAGCUUAAGACUUCAAGGCUUUGCAUCUUAAAAUUUAACUUUUUUCCUAUCUUGCUCUUGGAUUUGGAGACCCAAAGGUCUUUUCCAGGAAAAACUCAAGAUUGAGCAGCUGUUUAUUAAGUUUGGCUUUUUGGGUGGUAUGAAACAGAGUGUUGCCUACAUUACCUGAGGACAGUAAUCAUUAGGGACACAUUUAGAUGGAAAAGGAGGAGUUGUUAGGAACGAGGCAGCUCUAAUGACUGCUUCCUUCCUCUGUCAUGGCCUCAUGGUCUCCCCCACCCUCUCAGAGGUUGUACUGCUCCAUGAGCACAUCCACUGCAUUCUUUUCCUACCACCUGGAUUUCCAGGCAUCUGUCCAUUCUUGCACCCUGUAUCUUUGGCUUGCCCUUGGACCAUCAUCAUUACUCUAGUCCUGACUCUAUCACUGAGCUGCAGUACCCAAUAGUAACCUAACUCAUCCCCUUAGGGUUCCUUAUUUCAACGUUCCAAAAAGGAUAUCUGACUGAUGACUUCUGGGUCUGAUUAGCUGUAGUCAAAGAGCAGAAUCAUAUAUCACAUAGGCUGCAGGGGCUGUAGAAGAGGAUCUGGAUGAAAAGGUACAAUAAAUAUCUGAUUCCUCCAGCCCCAAAGGCAAGCUAGAUUCUCAGUAGGAAUGUACACUAGAUGGUUUUGGGUGAGUGUGAUCAGACCAGGUUCACCUUUGGGUAAAAUGUGUGAUCUGGAUAUGGGCAUGGGAGAUACAGCAAGAAGAAGUAGGAGGGAAGGAGCCAAUGUGUGUCAGUAACCAAGUAUGAGUCAGACAUUUGGUAAAAUGAGGUAAAAUGACUUUUAGUUCAAUAGAAUAGCUCUGGGGAAAUUACUUAGAUUCCCUGAGGUUCAGUUUUCUCUUCAUUAAAAUAAUGUGGCCAUCAAAUAAGAGAAUAUGUAUGAAAACAUAUAGGACAUUCACAUAUUUGCUGGUGGAACAGCAUGGUGUGGAUUUAGAACAUACACAACUCCCACUAAAUUUAAAUCCAGGAAAGCCACUCACUAGGACUCACUAGGGCAAUCUUGAACAAGUUGGUCAAUCUUUGCAGGACUCAGUUUUGUUAUUUGGUGAGAUUAAUAGAAGGGAAUGGCAUGAAGCAUAUUCUCAAUAAGUACAUAGUGUGAAUAUUACAGUCAUUGAUGUUUGUUUCAUAUUGAAAUAAUGAUACGUAUGAGCCUGUCAAGUAGAGACUGGGAGAGGGGAAUUACUUGGGUCAUGGGAAAACAGUGUAUAUAGGCAUAGGGUUGUGGAAUACUUUGUUUGGAAAACAGAGAGGGGCCCAGUGGAGUUGAGUGAGGUUAUCGGGCAGAUGGAAAGAUUGGCAAAGGCCACUUCAUAAAGGACCAGGGCAGCAGGGAGGGCUCCCAGUGUCUUGGAUUGGGAAGGUGCAGAAGUGUGGUGCAGAGUCAACCCUGCAGAGGUCUGUCUUCAGGCUUGCCAUCUUCAAUCCAUUCUCCACGAUGCUGCCAGAGCCCUCUUUCUAAAUCUCAGAUCUGAGCAUAUGGCUUCCCAAACAGAGUGCUCAAUAACUUCCAAUCCCUGCAGGAUAAAGUUCAUACCCCUUAGCAGGGCAUUUAAGGCCCUCAGGAUCAUUCUAGGAUUCUGUCCCUGCUACCACAGCUGUGCCAUAGAAAACAGCUUUCUGAUUCCUGCUGCUUUGUUUCUCCAGCUGUGGAGUCAAAGCCUUAGGAAGGGGCAAGGGGUGGAUAGAAGCCAGGUUAGGUGCCCACAUGUCAGCUGCCAGGCAGCUGGGCAAGUGAAAACCUCCAUUUCCAUCUUUCAGACAAGCAUGAAAUGCAAAUCACUUUUUCCAUAUUCCAACUAUAAGUGGUGGCUGACCUUUUGAGGGAUGUUUGAAGUAGAAAGUUUUCACUACACUAUAUUGAUUUUGCAGAUACUUUUCCUACUUGCCUUUACAAAUGAAUAAAAACAUUAUUUUACCUUGAAUUUACAUGAAAUAUUAUUGAUAGAAAUGACCAGAAUAACAGAAAGUUGGUAAUGACUAAAACUUUACUUGAUUAAAUGUAUUACAGGUGAAAAAAAUGGAUAAGUUGAAAAAAUGCGAAAAUGAACUGGGGAAAUGACAAUUUUGGGAGAAAUAACCCAACAAAACCAUCAAAGCCUAAAAACGACAUAUGGGGAAAAUUGACAAAAUAUUGAUGAGUGAAUAAAAUAAUACUGACAAAAAUUAUAAAUGCAAA